rnacentral:lncRNA from 1 species
GGAAUGUGAGCUUAAGUGUUCUUUGUAGCAGAGAGCAUUGGGGCUUGCAUUAAAUUUAGUGGGAAUCUGGUUUUUCUCUACAUGCUUCCUAAUACAUUAGCAAGUGGAAGUGUGGAAUUAAGAGUUUUGAUAGAAAACUAGGUUGGUAAAAAUGAAACUAGCAUCGAAGAUCAGGCUGAGUUUGGUGGUCUCCAAGUUAUCCUGGAGUUGUAGGCUUCAUUGUCUUGGCAUUCUAGACCCUUUUACAUGAAGAUAAUGAGUAUGUUGGCUUAAGUUUUAAUAUACAGCCCUGCUGGUUCUAAUGACGGAAUUUGGGCUCUUCUGCUAAGAGGAAUAGUGGGCACCCAUCUUUAAUUCUAGUGCUUCAUGAGGUUGAGGGAGCCUGCUCUGUGUGACAUCCCCCUGAUAAAUUUAAAAGGCAAUGUAAACACUGGAAGGAGGUUAAUGGGACAGUGCUAACAUUAAAUUUGAAUUGUUAUUUCUGGUUUCAGUAACUCGCCAAAAUGACGAACACAAAAGGAAAGAGGAGGGGUACUCGGUAUAUGUUCUCUAGACCUUUUAGGAAACAUGGAGUCGUUCCUUUGGCCACAUACAUGCGAAUCUACAAGAAGGGUGAUAUUGUAGACAUCAAGGGAAUGGGCACUGUUCAAAAAGGAAUGCCCCAUAAGUGUUACCAUGGCAAA